AGGUGAGAUCAUACCAGCGUUAAUUCACAAAAUCCCAUCAGAACUACGCAGUUAAGCGCGCUUGGGAUAGAGUAAUAUUGGGAUGGGUGACCUCCCGGGAAGUCCUAGUGUUUCUUCCU
rnacentral:rRNA from 1 species